ensembl:lncRNA
AAAUUGGGUUUCUACGGUGUCAUUUCCAGACACGUUUUUUUGGGCCGGAUGAGAUUUUUUUCAGCAUGUUUCUUCAGCCUGCUCAACCUGCUCAACCUGCUCAACCUGCUCAGCCUGGUGUCGGUCUGUGAGUCUCCUCUCCCUCCCCGCCUCGUUUGAAUCCAGCAGCAUACGGGCUACGUGAGACGUGGAGAGCGCGGUGUAAAAUAAACGCUAGCUUUUAAAAACUCUCAGUGGAUUACCGAAACAUCCCCGAGUCCAUGAAUGAUAUAAAAAGAAACUCUCUGCUACUGUAUGUUUUAUACUUCGCACCCAGUGGCAUCAUCAUGUUGUGACAUCAUUGCAUGCCUGAGCAUGCUCUUUCUUACUCUUUGGUUUAUGAGGUUGUUUCCAAGUUAAUGUGGAGAAAAUAAUGAAAUGUUUGAAAUGAAUGCGUUUGGUGUGGUUUAUUGCUGCGGCCUCGUUGCCUCAAUCAUGAAGGUGACUAAAAAAUAACAACAAACAUGACGGAUGAACAUGUGAAUAACCAGGAAGGACCGGUGAGCAUGUUUAACUGUGCGUGAUUUUCUGGAUAAACUUAAAAUCUAUAAACAAUAAAUCUAAUAAAUCUAUGAAUCUAGAUUUGACAGAAAAUAUACUAUAUCACGAUAUGUUUAUCUCAGUAUGUACUCGCUAUAGUCACCAUCUUUUAUCCAUAAAACAACAACGUACAUUUCUAGAAAUAUCCACAAGCUUCAGUUAUGAAUAUCACAAUUCCUCAUGGUCACUGCAGCUGAGAAAAUAACUAUCUGAUCUAAAAGAAACUGACCGUAACCUAAUUAAUCAUUUCAUUUUCACUCAGCUAAAGACCAGAUUUGCCUCUCAGUGAACUGUGCUAACAGUGUUUACCUGGAGGGGGGGGGGGGGGGGUCACCUGCUGUAACAGGUAAGCUCUGAUGACAACAGAGAGAGAAAGAAACAGAGACAGACACACGGAGAGAGAGAAUUUGAAAUAUUAAAUACCGAUGUAUAUCACAGUGCCACGAAAGUGCACUUUCUUGUUCUUUUGAGUUUGUAUCCUUAUGGUUGAAAUGCACUUAUUGAAGUCGGCUAAAUGACAUGUUAUGUGAUGUUAUAUAAUGAGAAACUCACAGGUCUUCAGUUCAGACUCAUGUGAUUUGCAAUAAAAAAAAGUGCAAAGUGCGGGAAAAUGUAAACAACAAACUCAAAAGUAAUAAUGCGGUGGUGGAAAAGGUAUUCAGAUCCUUAACUAAAGUAAAAGUACACUAAAUAUUCAAAAUACUGCAUUGCACGUAUUACAUUAUGAUCACGAGCCAAUGUAUCCUAGAACCGACGAUGUAAUAAUAGUUUAUUAAACUCAUUUUCUAAAUGAUUUCAUUAUGUUUGUUCUUCGUCAGGUGGGACUCGCGCGGGGGGGGG